rnacentral:rRNA from 1 species
UACGUAGGGGGCAAGCGUUGUCCGGAAUCAUUGGGCGUAAAGCGCGUGUAGGCGGCUCGGUAAGUCCGCUCUGAAAGUCCAGGGCUCAACCCUGGGAUGCGGGUGGAUACUGCCGGGCUCGAGUCCGGAAGAGGCGAGUGGAAUUCCUGGUGUAGCGGUGAAAUGCGCAGAUAUCAGGAGGAACACCGAUGGCGAAGGCAGCUCGCUGGGACGUGACUGACGCUGAGACG